UACGUAGGUGGCAAGCGUUGUCCGGAUUUAUUGGGCGUAAAGCGAGCGCAGGCGGUUUCUUAAGUCUGAUGUGAAAGCCCCCGGCUCAACCGGGGAGGGUCAUUGGAAACUGGGAGACUUGAGUGCAGAAGAGGAGAGCGGAAUUCCAUGUGUAGCGGUGAAAUGCGUAGAUAUAUGGAGGAACACCAGUGGCGAAGGCGGCUCUCUNGGUCUGUAACUGACGCUGAGGCUCGAAAGCGUGGGGAGCAAACAGGAU
rnacentral:rRNA from 1 species